UACGGGGGGAGCAAGCGUUGUUCGGAUCUACUGGGCGUAAAGGGCGCGUAGGCGGUCGUGACAAGUCACUUGUGAAAUCUCCGGGCUUAACUCGGAACGGUCAAGUGAUACUGUCGGACUAGAGUACAGAAGGGGCAACUGGAAUUCUCGGUGUAGCGGUGAAAUGCGUAGAUAUCGAGAGGAACACCUGCGGCGAAGGCGGCUCACUGGACCGGAACUGACGCUGAGGCGCGAAAGCGUGGGGAGCAAACAGG
rnacentral:rRNA from 1 species